GAUGACUUCUGUUCUUAAAACUUGUCAGGGC
rnacentral:piRNA from 1 species